rnacentral:rRNA from 1 species
AUUGAACGCUGGCGGCAGGCCUAACACAUGCAAGUCGAGCGAGCGGCGGACGGGUGAGUAAUGUAUGGGGACUGCCCGAUAGAGGGGGAUAAGUACUGGAAAAGGUAGCUAAUACCGCAUACUAUCGGAUAACCCAUAUGGGAUUAGCUAGUAGGUGAGGUAAUGGCUCACCUAGGCUACGAUCCCUAGCUGGUCUGCGAGGAGGAUCAGCCACACUGGGACUGAGACACGGCCCAGACUCCUACGGAGGCAGUAGUGGGGAAGAUUGCACAAUGGGCGCAAGCCUGAUGCAGCCAUGCCGCGUGUAUGAAGAAGGCCCUAGGGUGGUAAAGUACUUUUAGUCGGGAGGCGUUACCGACAGAAGAAGCACCGUCUAACUCGGUGCCAGCAGCCGCGGUAAUAC